rnacentral:rRNA from 1 species
AUACGGAGGAUUCGAGCGUUAUCCGGAUUUAUUGGGUUUAAAGGGUGCGUAGGCGGGCUAAUAUGUCAGUGGUGAAAUCACUCAGCUUAACUGAGUAACUGCCAUUGAUACUGUUAGUCUAGAAUAUAAAUGGUGCAGGCGGAAUGAAUCAUGUAGAGGUGACAUUCAUAGAUAUGAUUCAGAACACCGAUCGCGAAGGCAGCUUGCAAAGAUAUUAUUGACGCUGAGGCACGAAAGCGAGGGUAGC